rnacentral:ncRNA from 1 species
GGGAGCUGUAUGCGAUGAAAAUCGCACGUACAGUUCUAACUGAGAGGGACGAGGGAUAAUACCCUCUCUCGACUCAAC